UGAGGAAUAUUGGUCAAUGGGCGGAAGCCUGAACCAGCCAUGCCGCGUGCAGGACGACGGCCCUACGGGUUGUAAACUGCUUUUCCGGGGGAAGAAUAAGGCCCACGCGUGGGUCGAUGCCGGUACCCCGGGAAUAAGGAUCGGCUAACUCCGUGCCAGCAGCCGCGGUAAUACGGAGGAUCCGAGCGUUAUCCGGAUUUACUGGGUUUAAAGGGUGCGUAGGCGGACCCCUAAGUCAGCGGUGAAAUGCGGCGGCUUAACCGUCGAACUGCCGUUGAUACGGGGUGUCUUGGAUGCGGUCGGGGCGGGCGGAAUGCGUGGUGUAGCGGUGAAAUGCUUAGAUAUCACGCAGAACGCCGAUUGCGAAGGCAGCUCGCCGGGCCGUUAUCGACGCUGAGGCACGAAAGCGUGGGGAUCGAACA
rnacentral:rRNA from 1 species